rnacentral:rRNA from 1 species
AUGCGGGCGAUGGUGAAGAAGCUGCUCGAUACCGUGCCGGACCGGCUGUACGUCCUGGUGGCCGGCAUCGAGCAGUUCUACGACGUCGAGGAGAUGCUCUUCGAGGAGGCGCUCAGUCGUUUGAAGGCCUUCGAGGAGCGGACGAGGCGGCACAUGCAGGCCGGCGGCGACCGGGCGGACAAGCAGCUGAUGCUCACCGGUGCUCAGUGGGCGGCGAGGAGGCGUCAGCAGGACGGAGGCGGCUUCGAUGACCAUGACGAUGACGGAGCGGCAAGCACGACAUCGGGCGGCGGAGGGAAGCGGCGAGGGCGCUGCUACAACUGCGGUCAGUGCGAGCAUUUCCGGCGCGAGUGCCCAAAGCCGCGGAAGGCACAGGCGGCAGAGCAGGCCUUCUUGCCGACGGCAACGACGAGUACGACGGGCUCCUCUAGGCCGUGGCUUAGGGUGUGUGUGUUGGCCAAUAAGCCACGGCCAGGGCACGUCAGGUGCGGGUGA